UACGUAGGGUGCGAGCGUUGUCCGGAAUUACUGGGCGUAAAGAGCUCGUAGGUGGUUUGUCGCGUUGUUCGUGAAAUCCCACGGCUUAACUGUGGGCGUGCGGGCGAUACGGGCAGACUGGAGUACUGCAGGGGAGACUGGAAUUCCUGGUGUAGCGGUGGAAUGCGCAGAUAUCAGGAGGAACACCGGUGGCGAAGGCGGGUCUCUGGGCAGUAACUGACGCUGAGGAGCGAAAGCGUGGGGAGCGAACAGGA
rnacentral:rRNA from 1 species